CUACGUAGGGUGCGAGCGUUAAUCGGAAUUACUGGGCGUAAAGCGUGCGCAGGCGGUUUUGUAAGACAGGCGUGAAAUCCCCGGGCUCAACCUGGGAAUGGCGCUUGUGACUGCAAGGCUAGAGUGCGUCAGAGGGGGGUAGAAUUCCACGUGUAGCAGUGAAAUGCGUAGAGAUGUGGAGGAAUACCGAUGGCGAAGGCAGCCACCUGGGACGAGACUGACGCUCAUGCACGAAAGCGUGGGGAGCAAACAGGAUUAGAAACCCCAGUAGUCC
rnacentral:rRNA from 1 species